AUGCGACAGUAUAUGUACACGUGUGGAGCACUGAGCGGCAUGGUAACCGGCAUGCAAUUAUUGGCAUCCGCGAGUGGCGCACUUCGAUCGCCAUUAAAGGCUAUUAGCAAUGGUGAUUUAUUUCCGCAAACUCUGCACUCAACUGAAGGGAUGGUUCGUUGCCCCCAUCCCAUGAAUGUCAGACCACCGCGUGGCGCCCUCCCCGCCCUGGACCCAUCGAGGCACCAACACAUGAUUUGCCGCCAUGAGAGAGGACCGAAGUCGGGGAGGAGCGACCGAUUCCGUAGAGAGGUAGAACCCAGCAAGCCCAAGUCAGCACAGCCCAAUGCUAAGCAGGCCAUAUUAACAAGAAACGUCAGAUUUUGUUAUGGGAGCAGCAGCCCAAUCCAGCACGCUCCACCCAUGCGGGAUUAG
rnacentral:rRNA from 1 species